CCUACGGGAGGCAGCAGUGGGGAAUAGUGCGCAAUGGGCGAAAGCCUGACGCAGCGACGCCGCGUGAGGGAUGAAGGUCUUCGGAGCGUAAACCUCUGUCAGCAGGGAAGAACGGUGAAUGGGCUAAUCAGCAGUGAAUUGACGGUACCUGCAAAGGAAGCACCGGCUAACUCCGUGCCAGCAGCCGCGGUAAGACGGAGGGUGCGAGCGUUAAUCGGAAUUACUGGGGGUAAAGCGCUCGUAGGCGGUAUGUCAAGUCAAGGUGGAAAUCCCCGCGCUCAACGUGGGAACUGCCUUUGAAACUGGCAAUCUGGAGUGUGUUAGAGGUUAGUCGAAUUCCAGGUGUCGCAG
rnacentral:rRNA from 1 species